AUUGAACGCUGGCGGCAUGCCUUACACAUGCAAGUCGAACGGCAGCACGGGAGCAAUCCUGGUGGCGAGUGGCGAACGGGUGAGUAAUAUAUCGGAAUCUGCCUCGUUGUGGGGGAUAACGUAGGGAAACUUACGCUAAUACCGCAUACGACCUACGGGUGAAAGUGGGGGACCUUCGGGCCGUCACGCGAUGAGAUGAGCCGAUGCCGGAUUAGCUAGUUGGCGGGGUAAAGGGCUCACCAAGCCAACGAUCUGUAGCUGGUCUGAGAGGACGACCAGCCACACUGGAACUGAGACACGGUCCAGACUCCUACGGGAGGCAGCAGUGGGGAAGUUUUUGGACAAUGGGCGCAAGCCUGAUCCAGCCAUUCCGCGUGCAGGAUGAAGGCCUUC
rnacentral:rRNA from 1 species